UGCGUAGGCGGUCGGGUAAGUCUGACGUGAAAUCUUCAAGCUCAACUUGGAAACUGCGUCGGAUACUAUUCGGCUGGAGGAAUGGAGGGGAGACUGGAAUACUUGGUGUAGCAGUGAAAUGCGUAGAUAUCAAGUGGAACACCAGUGGCGAAGGCGAGUCUCUGGACAUUUCCUGACGCUGAGGCAAAGCCAGGGGAGCGAAACG
rnacentral:rRNA from 1 species